ACGCUCGACACCUACGUGAGGCAGCAGUGGGGAAUAUUGCACAAUGGGGGAAACCCUGAUGCAGCGACGCCGCGUGGAGGAAGAAGGUCUUCGGAUUGUAAACUCCUGUUGUUGGGGAAAAAGAGGAUGGUACCCAACAAGGAAGUGACGGCUAACUACGUACCAGCAGCCGCGGUAAUCUGAGCGGGCUGGCAAGGC
rnacentral:rRNA from 1 species